UCAAAACUUUCAACAACGGAUCUCUUGGUUCUGGCAUCGAUGAAGAACGCAGCGAAAUGCGAUAAGUAAUGUGAAUUGCAGAAUUCAGUGAAUCAUCGAAUCUUUGAACGCACAUUGCGCCCGCCAGUAUUCUGGCGGGCAUGCCUGUUCGAGCGUCAUUUCAACCCUCAAGCUCUGUCUUGCGCUUGGUGUUGGGGAUCGGCCCUGCCCGCCAGCCCGGGCGGGCCGCCCCCGAAAUGAAUCGGCGGUCUCGUCGCAGCCUCCUCUGCGUAGUAAUUCAGUUAUCCUCGCACUUGGAGCGCGGCGCGGCCACUGCCCGUAAAACGCCUAACUUCUCAAGAGUUGACCUCGAAUCAGGUAGGAAUACCCGCUGAACUUAAGCAUAUCAAUAAGCGGAGGA
rnacentral:rRNA from 1 species